rnacentral:rRNA from 1 species
UACAGAGGGUGCAAGCGUUGUUCGGAAUUAUUGGGCGUAAAGCGCGUGUAGGCGGCUUUGCAAGUCGGGUGUGAAAGCCCUCGGCUCAACCGAGGAAGUGCGCCCGAAACUGCAGAGCUUGAGUACCGGAGAGGAUGGCGGAAUUCCCCAAGUAGAGGUGAAAUUCGUAGAUAUGGGGAGGAACACCGGUGGCGAAGGCGGCCAUCUGGACGGAUACUGACGCUGAGGUGCGAAAGCGUGGGGAGCAAACAGG